CCCUUAGAUGUUCUGGGCCGCACGCGCGCUACACUGACGAAUGCAACGAGCUUAUAACCUUGGCCGACAGGCCCGGGCAAUCUUUGAACGCUGGUCGUGAUGGGGAUAGACUUUUGCAAUUUUUGGUCUUCAACGAGGAAUUCCUAGUAAACGCAAGUCAUCAACUUGCAUUGAUUACGUCCCUGCCCUUUGUACACACCGCCCGUCGCACCUACCGAUUGAAUGGUCCGGUGAAGCCUCCGGAUUGGCGCGCACCUCGGUGCCGCCGAGAAGUUGGCUAAACCUUACCAUUUAGAGGAAGGUGAAGUCGUAACA
rnacentral:rRNA from 1 species